AUCUGGUUGAUCCUGCCAGAAGUUAUAUGCUUGUUUCAAGGAUUAAGCCAUGCAUGUCUAAGAAUACAGUAUCUUAAGCUGAAUCUGCGGACGGCUCAUUAAACCAGCAAUGACCUACCCUGGAUAGUAGGGCUUCGGCUCUGCCAUUCGGAUAUCCACUCGAAACGGGUGGUUAAUACGUGGAAGAAAAAGGCUGCCUCCAUCAAACCACUGUAGGGGAAACCCAAGGUGGGGAGGCGGUCUGGUGUGGACCGAAACAAAAACCGACGCUCUGUCACAGGAGCAGUCUACAAUCGGUGAAUCAGGUCCACCUUACCUAAAGCGACUUGUUCGCGUUCCAGGACGGACUUCUGCCCUAUCAGCUAUGAUGGUUGUGUAGUGGACAACCAUGGCUAUCACGGGUAACGGAGAAUCAGGGUUCGAUUCCGGAGAGUGAGCCUGAGAGACGGCUAACACAACUAAGGUUGGCAGCAGGCGCGCAAAUUACCCAAUGUCAACACUGACGAGGUAGCGACGAAAAAUAGGAUUUCCGCGGGUCUCUGACCCGUGGAGAUUCCAAUGAAUGGUACUUAAACCCACCACUGAGUAACGAUUGGAGGGCAAGUCUGGUGCCAGCAGCCGCGGUAAUUCCAGCUCCAAGAGCGUAUGCUAAUGCUGUUGCUGUUAAAAAGCUCGUAGUUGGAUUCUGAGUUGGAGGUUGCACACGGCCUUUCCGCGGAAGGUAGCUGCCGUUUCGGCGGUAUGUUGCCUUUCCGUUGUGUUAGGGUACAACCGGGUGCUUUCGACCUUCACUCUACACACGCGGAAACGAUUCUCCUGCGGAAGCCUCCUUAACUGGUGGUGGAAGCAACCUUACGGGAUCAACUGUUCCCAUAAAGGAGCGUCCGCGAUUGUUACUGUGAACAAAACAGCGUGUUCAAAGCAUCCGUAUGGCUGAAUGAUCUAGCAUGGAAUAACAAGGGAUCGACCUUUGGUUUGGUCUUCUUUUUGUCGGUUUUGAUUACCCCAAGGGGCAAUCUAGGGCGGAGUAACCAUUCGGUUACCUUUGGCGUUUCUGUUAUCCUUCGGGGUGCAAGGCGUUCAGAGGUCCAAAUGGUCUCCGUUCCGUCGGUAUUAAUAGGAGCAAGCGGGGUGGUACGUAUUGCUGCGUUAGUGGUGAAAUACUUAGACCGCAGCAGGACGAACAACAGCGAAGGCAUUCUGCAAGUUUGCUUUCAUUAAUCAAGAACGAGAGUGUGGGGUUCGAAGAUGAUCAGAUACCGUCGUAGUCCAUUACCGUAAACGAUGCCGAUUUGAAAUCAGCAAGGGCUCUACUUCAGGACCUUGUUGGCAUCGCCCCCUUUUAACGAGAAAUCUUAAAUGUUUGGGUUCAGGGGGGAGUACAUUCGCAAGGCUGAAACUUAAAGGAAUUGACGGAAUGACACCACAAGGCGUGGAGUAUGCGGCUUAAUUUGACUCAACACGGGGAAACUCACCAGGUCAGGACGAAAUUAGGAUUGACAGAUUGAAGUUCUUUCUUGAUCUUUCGGAUGGUGGUGCAUGGCCGUUCUUGGUUGGUGAAGUGAUUUGUCUGCUUAAUUGCGUUAACGAACGAGAUCUCUGCCUCUUAAUAGGUGGCGGCGACGUUUUAAGCAGCUGUGGGGGGGUCCGAGCGGUUUCGGCCGUGAGGCUCCCUUUUUGCUGUGAGUCUGCCGUGAAACUUCUUAGAGGGACUGUGUACGUUCCAGUACACGGAAGGUAGAGCCAAUAGCAGGUCUGUGAUGCUCCUAGAUGUCCUGGGCUGCACGCGCACUACACUGAUGGCGAAAACGAGUUUGCACUCCUUGUGAGUCCUGCUUCGAAAGGAGUGGGAAAUCUUGGAAGGCGCCAUCGUGACUGGGAUAGAUGAUUGCAAUUAUUUGCCUUGAACGAGGAAUGCCUAGUAAGGGCGAUUCAUCAGAUCGCCCUGAUUACGUCCCUGUCAUUUGUACACACCGCCCGUCGUUGCUACCGAUUGGUUUUGGAACAGAGAUCUUAGGAGGACCGGUCCACGGGUUCGCCCGCGGCCUUCCUGGUUCCAAAUUAGCUCAAUGUCUCAAAGCUAGAGGAAGCAAAAGUCGUAACAAGGUAGCUGUAGGUGAACCUGCAGCUGGAUCAUU
rnacentral:rRNA from 1 species